rnacentral:lncRNA from 10 species
GUCGGCUACUGAGACACUAACGGGCAGGUGGUGUAGACAGUGUGGAUUGGCUGGACAAAGGAAGAGGAGAGGGACGCACAAAGACACAGAUGCAGAUGGGACAAGGUCAUGUGAAGACAAAGGCAGCAGUUUGAGUGAUACAACCUCAAGCCAAGGAACAUCGAGGAUCACCAGUGACAACUGCCAGCUAGGAAGAGGCAAGGAAGGAUUCUCCCCAGAGGCUCCAGAGGGAGCAUGGCCCUGCUGACACCUUGAUUUUGGACUUCUAGCCUCUAGAGCUAUCUAUGAGAUGAUACAUUUCUGUUGCUAUGGGCCCAGUGUAAUCACAAGCGUCCUUCAAUGUGGAAGAGGGAGGCAGCAGAGGAGUCAAUCACAGGAAGAUGUGAUAAUAGAAGAAAGACAGAGAGAGGAGAAAUGCUGCUGCCUUUGAAGAUUGAAGAAGGGGCCAUGAGCAAAGGAACACGGGCUGCUCGUAGAGGCUGGAAAGAGCAAGGACACAGUCUCUCCUGGAGCCUCCAGAGGGAACACAGCCCAGCUGACACCUUGAUUUUAGCCCAGUGAGACCCAAGCUGGGCUCUAACCUACAAAACUAACACAACAUGGGAGGUGAACAAGGAGAGCAGUUUUUGCGAAGAGGAGAAGACACAGAUUGGAAAGCAUUUAUGGUGCAGCUAUAGGUCAAAGUGUAUCCUGAAUUGGUGGGUUCUUGGUCUCACUGACUUCAAGAAUGAAGCCGCGGACCCUCGCG